rnacentral:tRNA from 1 species
AAGGUUUUAAGUUAAUUUAAAACUAAUAACCUUCAAAGUUAUAAAUAAAGCUCUUCUUUAAACCUUA